AACCGCGGUUAUACGAGAGGCCCAAGUUGAUAUGCAUCGGCGUAAAGCGUGGUUAAGACUGUAUAAAACUAGAGCCGAAUAUCUUCAAGACUGUUAUACGUACCCGAAGAUGAGAAGUCCAAUAACGAAAGUAGCCUUAGUAUAACUGAACCCACGAAAGCCACGGUA
rnacentral:rRNA from 1 species